rnacentral:rRNA from 1 species
UACGGAGGGUGCAAGCGUUGUCCGGAUUUAUUGGGUUUAAAGGGUGCGUAGGCGGCCCUGUAAGUCAGUGGUGAAAUACUGCAGCUUAACUGUAGCAUUGCCAUUGAUACUGUAGGGCUUGAGUACAGAUGAGGUAGGCGGAAUUGAUGGUGUAGCGGUGAAAUGCGUAGAUAUCGGAAGGAACACCAGUGGCGAAAGCGGCUUCCUGGCCCAGCACCGACGUUCAGGCACGAAAGCGUGGGGAGCAAACAGG